UUCUUACCCCCUCCGUCCGAAAAUACUUGUCAUCAAAAUGAAUAAAAAGGAAUGUAUCUAGAACUAAUAUACAUCUAGAUACAUCCCCUUUUAUUUAUUUUGAUGACAAGUAUUUCCGGACAGAGGGAGUACUAU
rnacentral:pre_miRNA from 1 species